AUCCAAGAACUUUGAUUCUGGCUCAGGAUGAACGCUGGCGGCGUGCCUAAUACAUGCAAGUCGAACGCACAGCGAAAGGUGCUUGCACCUUUCAAGUGAGUGGCGAACGGGUGAGUAACACGGUGGACAACCUGCCUCAAGGCUGGGGAUAACAUUUGGAAACAGAUGCUAAUACCGAAUAAAACUUAGUGUCGCAUGACACAAAGUUAAAAGGCGCUUCGGCGUCACCUAGAGAUGGAUCCGCGGUGCAUUAGUUAGUUGGUGGGGUAAAGGCCUACCAAGACAAUGAUGCAUAGCCGAGUUGAGAGACUGAUCGGCCACAUUGGGACUGAGACACGGCCCAAACUCCUACGGGAGGCUGCAGUAGGGAAUCUUCCACAAUGGGCGAAAGCCUGAUGGAGCAACGCCGCGUGUGUGAUGAAGGCUUUCGGGUCGUAAAGCACUGUUGUAUGGGAAGAACAGCUAGAAUAGGAAAUGAUUUUAGUUUGACGGUACCAUACCAGAAAGGGACGGCUAAAUACGUGCCAGCAGCCGCGGUAAUACGUAUGCCCCGAGCGUUAUCCGGAUUUAUUGGGCGUAAAGCGAGCGCAGACGGUUUAUUAAGUCUGAUGUGAAGGCCCGGAGCUCAACUCCCGGAAUGGCAUUGGAAACUGGUUAACUUGAGUGCAGUAGAGGUAAGUGGAACUCCAUGUGUAGCGGUGGAAUGCGUAGAUAUAUGGAAGAACCACCAGUGGGCGAAGGCGGCUUACUGGACUGCAACUGACGUUGAGGCUUCGAAAGUGGUGGGUAGCAAACAGGAUUAGAUAACCCUGGUAGUCCCACACCGUAAACGAUGAACACCUAGGUGUGUAAGGAGGUUUCCGCCCCUCCUUAGUUGCCGAAGCUAACCGCAUUAAGUGUUCCGCCCUGGGGAGAUACCGACCGCAAGGUUGCCAACCUCAAAUGAAUUGACCGGAAGGGCGAACAUCGCGGC
rnacentral:rRNA from 1 species